UACGAAGGGGGCUAGCGUUGCUCGGAAUCACUGGGCGUAAAGGGCGCGUAGGCGGCGUUUUAAGUCGGGGGUGAAAGCCUGUGGCUCAACCACAGAAUGGCCUUCGAUACUGGGACGCUUGAGUAUGGUAGAGGUUGGUGGAACUGCGAGUGUAGAGGUGAAAUUCGUAGAUAUUCGCAAGAACACCGGUGUCGAAGGCGGCCAACUGGACCAUUACUGACGCUGAGGCGCGAAAGCGUGGGGAGCAAACAGG
rnacentral:rRNA from 1 species